rnacentral:rRNA from 1 species
AUACCCCAUAGUCCGAGAGGUUAAAGGCAGAGAUGCGCGACAGGAGGUACUCGUGACCUAUCAGCUGGUUGGUAAGGUAACGGCUCACCAAGGCGACGACGGGUAGCCGGCCUGAGAGGGUGACCGGCCACACUGGAACUGAGACACGGUCCAGACUCCUACGGGAGGCAGCAGUGGGGAAUAUUGGGCAAUGGGAGGAAUCCUGACCCAGCGACGCCGCGUGAACGAAGACGGCCUUCGGGUUGUAAAGUUCUUUUAUGUGGGAAGGAGGAAGUGACGGUACCACAUGAAUAAGCCCCGGCUAACUACGUGCCAGCAGCCGCGGUAAUACGUAGGGGGCGAGCGUCGUCCGGAAUUACUGGGCGUAAAGGGCACGCAGGCUGUGCUUCAAGUCAGCUGUCAAAGGAUGCGGCUUAACCGUGUUAUGCAGUUGAGACUGAGGUGCUGGAGUACCGGAGAGGCAAGUGGAAUUCCCAGUGUAGCGGUGAAAUGCGUAGAUAUUGGGAAGAACAUCGGUGGCGAAGGCGACUUGCUGGACGGUAACUGACGCUGAGGUGCGAAAGCCAGGGUAGCGAACGGGAUUAGAUACCCCGGUAGUCCUGGCCGUAAACGAUGAAUGCUAGGUGUGCGAGCAGAGAUGUUGGUGUGC